AAUGAACGUUGGCGGCGGGGAUUAGGCAUGCAAGUCGAGCGAGAACCCCGCAAGGGGGGCUUGCGGCGAACGGGACAGUAAUGUGUAGGUUAUCUGCCCUCCGGUCCGGGAUAGCUGCGGGUACCUGCAGGUAAUACCGGCUAACAUCUCCGGUUCAAAGCUUCAAUUCCGCUUGAAGAUUAGUCUGCAUCCUAUUAGCUAGUUGGGGGGGUAAUGACCUACAAAGGCAUCGAGGGGCAGCAGGUGUGAGAGAACGACGUCCGUCAUUGGGACUGAGACACAGCCAAGACACCUACGGGUGGCGGCGGUGUAGAGUAUACGGCAAUGGGGGCAAGCCUGAGCGAGCGACGCCGCGUGUGAGAUGAAGGCCUUCGGGUUGUAAUCCACUGUCAGAGGAGAUGGAAUGCAGGUGGGUUGUCCCAGCUGUUUGACAUAGCCUCAGAAGAAGGACGGGCUAAGUUCGUG
rnacentral:rRNA from 1 species